CCGAGUCAUCCAAACAGUACGAGACAAAUAAGGAUAGAGAAGAGGAUAGUGCUGAACCAUGUGAAGGCGAAACUGAGUUGUGGAAACCCUUAAAUCGUGUGGUUGAAGCUGCAAACAAAUCAAAGCACAGUAAGUCUGAUAUAGAGGAAGCUACUGUCCAAAUGCAGCUGCCUGGUCCUGCAGAGAAUGAAGCUCAAGUGCUUAAAUCCAUUGUUAAGGAGCAUGGUAAAAAAUCAGAAGUUAAUGGUGAUGAAAAUAACUCAUCUCUGUCACCAGAAGACUCAAUUAAGACUAGAAAGUUGCAAGGCAUACGGCAACAAAGAGCAGUUGUCUCCAAGGGCUUGAAUAUUAUUCCAGCACAAACUAUUGUUGAUGCAAGCAGUAAAUGCGAUGGAAGAUUU
rnacentral:misc_RNA from 1 species